AAAAAGGUAAGCUAAUUAAGCUAUUGGGUUCAUACCCCACUUAUGAAAGUCUUAAUCUUUCCCUCUUUA
rnacentral:tRNA from 1 species